UGGGGAAUAUUGCACAAUGGGGGAAACCCUGAUGCAGCGACGCCGCGUGAACGAAGAAGGUAUUCGUAUCGUAAAGUUCUGUCCUAUGGGAAGAUAAUGACAGUACCAUAGAAGAAAGCUCCGGCUAAAUACGUGCCAGCAGCCGCGGUAAUACGUAUGGAGCGAGCGUUGUCCGGAAUUAUUGGGCGUAAAGGGUACGCAGGCGGUUUAAUAAGUCGAAUGUUAAAGAUCGGGGCUCAACCCCGUAAAGCAUUGGAAACUGAUAAACUUGAGUAGUGGAGAGGAAAGUGGAGUUCCUAGUGUUGUGGUGAAAUACGUAGAUAUUAGGAGGAAUACCAGUAGCGAAGGCGACUUUCUGGACACAAACUGACGCUGAGGUACGAAAGCGUGGGGAGCAAACAGG
rnacentral:rRNA from 1 species